AGCAGCCGCGGUAAUUCCAGCUCCAAUAGCGUAUAUUAAAGUUGUUGCAGUUAAAAAGCUCGUAGUUGAAUUUCGGGAUUCAUCCGUUGGUCGGGCUUCACGGUCCGUACUGGUGUGAUGGGUUCCUACCUUCUGAAUAACCGGCAUGCCAUUAAUUUGGUGCGCCGGGGAAGCAGAACUAUUACCUUGAAAAAUUAGAGUGCUUAAAGCAGGCAAGUGCCUGAAUAGGUUAGCAUGGAAUAAUAAAAUAGGACGGCAUGGUUCUAUUUUGUUGGUUUCUAGGAUCACCGUAAUGAUUAAUAGGGAUAGUUGGGGGCAUUAGUAUUCAAUUGUCAGAGGUGAAAUUCUUGGAUUUAUUGAAGACUAACUUCUGCGAAAGCAUUUGCCAAGGAUGUUUUCAUUAAUCAAGAACGAAAGUUAGGGGAUCGAAGACGAUCAGAUACCGUCGUAGUCUUAACCAUAAAC
rnacentral:rRNA from 1 species